GACGAAGGGGGCUAGCGUUGUUCGGAAUUACUGGGCGUAAAGCGCGUGUAGGCGGUUGCCCAAGUCGGGGGUGAAAGCCUUGAGCUCAACUCAAGAAAUGCACUCGGUACUGGGUGACUAGAGGACCGGAGAGGAUAGUGGAAUUCCCAGUGUAGUGGUGAAAUACGUAGAGAUUGGGAAGAACACCAGUGGCGAAGGCGGCUAUCUGGACGGUUUCUGACGCUAAGACGCGAAAGCCGGGGGAGCAAACAGG
rnacentral:rRNA from 1 species